rnacentral:rRNA from 1 species
CUUUUACAAUGAAGAGUUUGAUCCUGGCUCAGGAUGAACGCUAGCUACAGGCUUAACACAUGCAAGUCGAGGGGCAGCAUUUUAGUUUGCUUGCAAACUAAAGAUGGCGACCGGCGCACGGGUGAGUAACACGUAUCCAACCUGCCGAUAACUCGGGGAUAGCCUUUCGAAAGAAAGAUUAAUAUCCGAUGGUAUAUUUUCUCCGCAUGGUGAGAAUAUUAAAGAAUUUCGGUUAUCGAUGGGGAUGCGUUCCAUUAGUUUGUUGGCGGGGUAACGGCCCACCAAGACCACGAUGGAUAGGGGUUCUGAGAGGAAGGUCCCCCACAUUGGAACUGAGACACGGUCCAAACUCCUACGGGAGGCAGCAGUGAGGAAUAUUGGUCAAUGGACGAGAGUCUGAACCAGCCAAGUAGCGUGAAGGAUGACUGCCCUAUGGGUUGUAAACUUCUUUUAUAUGGGAAUAAAGUGUUCCACGUGUGGGAUUUUGUAUGUACCAUAUGAAUAAGGAUCGGCUAACUCCGUGCCAGCAGCCGCGGUAAU